rnacentral:rRNA from 1 species
AGCAGCCGCGGUAAUUCCAGCUCCAAUAGCGUAUAUUAAAGUUGUUGCAGUUAAAAAGCUCGUAGUUGAAUUUCGGGGUCAGUAGGUCGGUCGUGCCACCAGUAUGCACUGGCCUCACUGAUUCCUCCUUCUUGUAGAACCGUAAUGCCAUUAAGUUGGUGUUGCGGGGAAACAGGACUGUUACUUUGAAAAAAUUAGAGUGUUUAAAGCAAGCUAACGCUUGAAUACAUUAGCAUGGAAUAAUGAAAUAGGACGAACGAUCCUAUUUUGUUGGUUUCUAGGAUUGACGUAAUGAUUAAUAGGGAUAGUUGGGGGCAUUAGUAUUCAAUUGUCAGAGGUGAAAUUCUUGGAUUUAUUGAAGACUAACUACUGCGAAAGCAUUUGCCAAGGAUGUUUUCAUUAAUCAAGAACGAAAGUUAGGGGAUCGAAGACGAUCAGAUACCGUCGUAGUCUUAACCAUAAACUAUGCCGACUAGGGAUCGGAUGAUGUUAAUUUAUAAUAGACUCAUUCGGCGCCUUA